rnacentral:rRNA from 1 species
UACAGAGGGGGCAAGCGUUGUUCGGAAUUACUGGGCGUAAAGGGCGCGUAGGCGGCCUGCUAAGUCGAACGUGAAAUCCCUGGGCUCAACCCAGGAACUGCGUCCGAUACUGGUUGGCUUGAAUCCGGGAGAGGGAUGUGGAAUUCCAGGUGUAGCGGUGAAAUGCGUAGAUAUCAGGAGGAACACCGGUGGCGAAGGCGGAUCUCUGGGCCUUACCUGACGCUCAGGCGCGAAAGCUAGGGGGAGCGAACAGG